GAGAGAGAGAGAGAGAGAGAGAGAGAGAGAGAGAGAGAGAGAGAGAGAGAGAGAAAGAAAGUAGAGAGAGAGAGAAAGAGUGUGUGUGUGUGUGUGCGCGUGUGGAGAGAGAGAGAGAAAGUGUGUGUGUGUGUUUUAAGAGAGACGAUGUAUCUAGCUGGGGACCUUUAACUGGGCAAGGGGCGAACUCCUAACUUUGGUUGAGAAGAGAAAGUGGGAGCCUUAUCACGUCCUCAACUGUCGCUGUUGGGCCCUCUCCACGGAAGCCCAUUGUCCUGUCCUUGGAGUGGCUCCAACUUCACACCAGGAGAGGCCAAUACGAAGGAGUUUUCCUCUCAUCUCUAGCACAUGCCAACCAGACCUCUAACUGCUCCUGUGGCAGCCUGCGUGCCAGCAUUCUGGAACCUGGAGCCAUCAAUUUACACUGAAACUCGUCUCCUACAGUCCAGCCUAUCUAGUGUGCAAGUGAAUUUUGAAGCUAGUAUCUCAGUGGCCAUCCAAAGGACUGCUAGGAUUGAUUGUCUUGGUGAGCUUGUGGCUAGCCCAACCUUCCAUGCUUCAUAUCCCGGUCAUCCUUGGUCACCGUCCAGGAUCAGUGUACAGAAGAGACAAGAUGUGGUCUAACAGAUCAUAUGAUGAAGUACCUCAGAAUGUCUCCAGUGAUGAAUCUGCCCUGAGGAAAACGAGCGAUGAUCUUUUUGCAAGCCGACAGCAUGAGUGCGGGGAUGAGAAAGAUGACUUUAAAAGAAAAUGUUCCUCCUCUUCCCAUUAUUCAAACCAACAGUCUCCCCAUAAAGGGGCUUCCUGUUUUUCCAGAAAAUCAGGUGUAAAUGCAAAGAACUCCCCACAUAGCAGAUCUGGAUCCAGUGGAAGGCACUCCCCAAAACAAAGCAAACUGCAUUCUUCCCAUGGGUCAGAGCCUAGGAAGUCCAAGCAUGCUCAUUCCUCCUACAAACGGUGCAGUGACGAAAAGCCAGAAGAAGAUAAAAAGAGGCCUGGCAAGUCUUUGAAAACAUCUAGAGACACACACACAGAAAGUUCUUCAACAGUUCCUUCAUCAGAAAUUUUAAACAAACUCAAAAGGUUUGAUGAAAAGGGACUUCCUAAAGCUGCAAGCGGGCAAACUGUAGAAAAGCCAAGGAUGGCAGAUGAAAAUGACUUACCUAAAAUUUCUGAGUUUGAAGUUGUACUCGCAGAAUUUAUGGAUCAGUCACAAGAACCUGAGUCAAAAAUAAAAGAUAACCAAGUAACCAAUCGCCGUAAAGCAAUAGUGUCAAAAACCAAGGAAAUCGAACAAGCCUACUACCAAGACUGUGAGACCUUCGGAAUGGUGGUGAAAAUGUUGGUUGAGAAAGACCCUUCUUUAGAAACGUCCAUUCAGUUUGCACUUAGGCAGAAUUUAUACGAAAUAAGUGAGCGCUGUGUGAAAGAGCUCAGGCAGUUCAUUGCAGAGUAUGAUGCUGCCGCCUCCUAAGAACUGGUGCUCUAGCAGAAAGUGUUUCUUGAUUGUCAUUCCAGAAUUGUAUAAAUACUUCAUAUAUGGAAGUUUUGUGAUGAAAUAACUUCAGUGUCUAGUAAACAUCUGAAAUGGUCAGCUUAAAACAAUCUUCAGAAAUGUUUCUAUGUAUGGAACCUUAUGAUUCAUGCACUCACCAGUGCUCAGCUUGUGUCUUAGCCUGAUGGGGAGGCUUGCUUACUCAUGGUCUGUGGUCUUCCAAGUAGAUGAAUGGAUGGCACAGUGUACUUUACAGUUAGAGACUGAACUUUAUAGUAAAUGGUAGCAUGUAAAAAUGUUAGAAUUAGAGUUGUGAUUUUUAUUGACUUUUGGCUUGUUUUCCUAGGCUUUGUUGCUUUUAUUAAAAUUAUCCUACAUUAAAGUAUGUUUUCUUAAUAAACUGUUACUUUGAUACCUUAAGAGAAUAAAACAUGGAAAUGAGCUCAAUCUU